UACAGAGACCUCAAGCGUUAUCCGGAAUCAUUGGGCGUAAAGCGUACCGGUAGGUGGUCAUGAAAGUUUUGGGUAAAAGCCAGAAGCUCAACUUCUGCGUUUGCUCAAAAUACUUCACGACUAGAGGGGCAAAUAGAGAGCUGGAACGAAUGGUGUAGUAGUGAAAUGCGUUGAUAUCAUUCGGAACACCGAAAGCGAAGGCAGGCUCUUGGGUGCCACCUGACACUGCUAGGACGAAAGCGUGGGGAGCGAAUGGG
rnacentral:rRNA from 1 species